CCCUUAGAUGUUCUGGGCCGCACGCGCGCUACACUGAUGCAUUCAACGAGUUCCUACCUUGGCCGAGAGGCCUGGGCAAUCUUUUGAACUUGCAUCGUGAUAGGGAUAGAUUAUUGCAAUUAUUAAUCUUGAACGAGGAAUUCCUAGUAAACGCAGACCAUCAAUCUGCAUUGAUUACGUCCCUGCCCUUUGUACACACCGCCCGUCGCACCUACCGAUUGAAUGGUCCGGUGAAGCCUCGGGAUUGUGGUUAGUUUCCUUCAUUGGAAGUUAGCCGCGAGAACUUGUCUAAACCUUAUCAUUUAGAGGAAGGUGAAGUCGUAACA
rnacentral:rRNA from 1 species